GUAAAAUUUUUGUGUAAUCUUUUUGUGUAAUUUUUUUUUCAGAGCUUGUGGGGACAUUAUAGCAAGAAUGGAGCUGUUUCAGUAGAAGAUAAUUUGAUCUUCUGAUGAAAAUAUUUUCUAGCUCAUCUCAUUUGAAAUGAAUGUUUGUUAACAGCAUACGCAGACAACUUUUGUUAUUGUGGGGUCAGGAGCUCAAGUGACUCCACUGAAACCCUGGCAUUUAUCACAGGCAAAAUUAGGUCAGAAGAGAGCACAGAGGUACUGAACUGAAAAGAGAUAAAUUCAUCCUUAGAAGGAAAAGAAUGGCUCGAGCUGCAAACUUGGGUUUAAUUUGUCUCCUCCACAUAAGGCUUGCUGCCUUCAUCUGUGAGUUGUGGAACUAUGCACGUUGAUUCUGAGUGAGAAUGACUUGCUACCUGUGUGCACACUCCUGCAAGGGAAAAAUGAGGCAGAACAAGGUGCUUCCUUAUCCAGGAAACCUACAGGAGGAAGAACUUGACAGGCUGCGACUGACACCAGGUUGUGACUGACAGAGAGCAGCUGAGGAUGAAGCCCUGUACCACAAUAAGGAAUGCUUUGAUUCCCAUCACAACACUGAUCUUCAAAGCUGUGCAGCUACAGCGGCAAGGAUGGUAAGUACUCCUGUGUGCAAUGUAUUCACUUGGAUU